GGGGUUGUGGCUCAGUGGUAGAGCACUCACCUAGAACAGGUGAGGCACUGGGUUCAAUCCUCAGCACCA
rnacentral:tRNA from 1 species